rnacentral:rRNA from 1 species
GAUGAACGCUGGCGGCGUGCCUAAUACAUGCAAGUCGAGCGAACGGACGAGAAGCUUGCUUCUCUGAUGUUAGCGGCGGACGGGUGAGUAACACGUGGAUAACCUACCUAUAAGACUGGGAUAACUUCGGGAAGCCGUAGCUAAUACCGGAUAAUAUUUUGAACCGCAUGGUUCAAAAGUGAAAGACGGUCUUGCUGUCACUUAUGGAUGGAUCCGCGCUGCAUUAGCUAGUUGGUAAGGUAACGGCUUACCAAGGCAACGAUGCAUAGCCGACCUGAGAGGGUGAUCGGCCACACUGGAACUGAGACACGGUCCAGACUCCUACGGGAGGCAGCAGUAGGGAAUCUUCCGCAAUGGGCGAAAGCCUGACGGAGCAACGCCGCGUGAGUGAUGAAGGUCUUCGGAUCGUAAAACUCUGUUAUUAGGGAAGAACAUAUGUGUAAGUAACUGUGCACAUCUUGACGGUACCUAAUCAGAAAGCCACGGCUAACUACGUG